rnacentral:rRNA from 1 species
UACGUAGGUGACAAGCGUUGUCCGGAUUUACUGGGCGUAAAGCGCACGUAGGCGGAUUGUUAAGUCAGGGGUGAAAUCCUGGAGCUCAACUCCAGAACUGCCUUUGAUACUGGCGAUCUCGAGUCCGGGAGAGGUGAGUGGAACUGCGAGUGUAGAGGUGAAAUUCGUAGAUAUUCGCAAGAACACCAGUGGCGAAGGCGGCUCACUGGCCCGGUACUGACGCUGAGGUGCGAAAGCGUGGGGAGCAAACAGG